rnacentral:lncRNA from 1 species
UAAAGCCAAAUCGGUUAUUAAUUGUUAUCAAUAUGACUAGGAUUUAUCUCUAACUAACUUUCCAAUUUGAAAGUGAGAUUAAUUCCAAUCCAAUUAGAUAACAUAAUAUCCGUCGGAUCGAACCCGCUUAUGGGCGCACCCGAUUCAAUUUAACCGAAUGCCAACAUCUCCUACUCGCACAUGACGGGAUCGAUACCAUCGUAACCACUUCCUCAACAUCACACCACCAUUAAUUCUAUUCAUACAGGAAAAUGAACAGUGCGACCGCCG